UUACCUACGGGACGCAGCAGUGGGGAAUAUUGGGCAAUGGGCGCAAGCCUGACCCAGCAACGCCGCGUGAAGGAAGAAGGCUUUCGGGUUGUAAACUUCUUUUGACAGGGAAGAGCAGAAGACGGUACCUGUCGAAUAAGCCACGGCUAACUACGUGCCAGCAGCCGCGGUAAUACGUAGGGGGCAAGCGUUAUCCGGAUUUACUGGGUGUAAAGGGAGCGUAGGUGGCAGGGCAAGUCAGAUGUGAAAACCCGGGGCUCAACUCCGGGAGUGCAUUUGAAACUGUCCAGCUAGAGUGCAGGAGA
rnacentral:rRNA from 1 species